UACAGAGGUGGCAAGCGUUGUUCGGAAUUACUGGGCGUAAAGGGCGCGUAGGCGGCCUUCUAAGUCGGACGUGAAAGCCCCAGGCUUAACCUGGGAACUGCGUCCGAUACUGGAAGGCUUGGAUUCGGGAGAGGGAUGUGGAAUUCCAGGUGUAGCGGUGAAAUGCGUAGAUAUCUGGAGGAACACCGGUGGCGAAGGCGGCAUCCUGGACCGAGAUCGACGCUGAGGCGCGAAAGCGUGGGGAGCAAACAGG
rnacentral:rRNA from 1 species